rnacentral:rRNA from 1 species
UUCUUCCUACGGGGGGCAGCAGUGAGGAAUAUUGGUCAAUGGGCGGAAGCCUGAACCAGCCAAGUCGCGUGAGGGAAGAAGGCCCUGCGGGUCGCAGACCUCUUUGGACGGGGAGCAAGGCCGCCGACGUGUCGGCGGAAGGAGAGUACCCGUAGAACAAGCAUCGGCUAACUCCGUGCCAGCAGCCGCGGUAAUACGUAGGUGGCAAGCGUUAUCCGGAUUUAUUGGGUGUAAAGGGCGUGUAGGCGGGAAAGCAAGUCAGAUGUGAAAACUCAGGGC